UGUGGUGCUAAACCAGAUCGAGCUACCAAGCAAUAAACAUGCCGUUGAGGAUUACAAAAUAUUGUGCAGUGCCUGGACUCCACAGUGAUGCAACAACAUGUGAGUAACAGUGUUAAUUCUAAUGCCUGAUCUGAUAUUAAUGAUUCAUGUACAGUCAGAUGUUCUUUGUCUGUGUGUCAGUAAAUCAAAUCAAACCGUCCUUUUCCCAAACGUCACCUUGCGUUGUUUCUCUUAUUAGGAUGAAAAUAAUCAGUAAUUUAACGGUGAUUAAAUUAUAUAAAGAACCUCAAAGAAAGCCCCCUUUGUAAUCAUUGGAGCAGCACGCGCUGAAGCGGUCAAUCAAACAGCGCGAGUUUAUCAGUGACUGGCGUGCAAAACUCCUGUUUUAUUCAACGAAUCUUUUAGUUAUAUCGCGUAUGCACUGUUAGUGAAGAUGAAAGCAUUUGUUAGUGUACAGAAAUUGAGUUGCAAUGACGAGAUCACUGCUUUCAUGUACUCAACAUUGUCUGUGAUCGGCUACAAUGUUCAUCUCUGCAACCUUUCAUGCUAUGAUCUAAAUAUAAUGCAACACUUUUCACGAUUAGUUAACCUUAGAGCUGUAAUAGUAAAAACACGCUAAAAGAAAGAGUAAUACUUGGAUAUUUUCAUAUGCAAAGAUGUUAGCCAAUCACAGCAGUGGGCGUUUAAACUGAAGUCUCACAGCAGACAUGCCCCUUAAAAUGGAGCAUUCAAAUCAGAGGCUAAAAUCAGGGUAGGGAUUAUGACAAUUUUGGAUGUAAAAAGCAUACUAACAUUAUAGGUGCACCCCAGGAAACAUUAUAAAACAAUAAACCAAUGCAGUUCAUGACCCCUUUAAAUUAAAAGUUAGAAUUUUGUGGGGUUUUUUAAUGAAAUGUAACCGGUUGACGUAUGGGUUGGGGACUACAACUCCCAAUAGUCUUUGGGACAAUUUUAAGAAUUGCGUCAUUACGUAGUUGGCACGCUAUAAAUAGACGCACGGAAGUACUGCGCGUCCUCGUUUCAUUCAUUCAUUGAACUCGGAAAUAAGCGUGAGCUUGCAUCAGGUCACCUUUAUGUGAUUUUUGAACGUGGGGCAUAAGGCAGUCGUAUGUAUUUGUUUUAUCAAGAAGUCCUUGUGUGUUGAUGGUGAUUGGCCUGGUGAUGCAGCCUUCAGAGUGUUGAAUGAGUGAGAGCGAAUUAGGUUCCUUUUAAAGAAGAACCGUGUGGUUGAUGUAUUCCUUUUUUUUUCUUUAAUCCAGUUCAUUUAAAGGACUAGCACGGCUAUUGUUACUAUUUGAUUUCUUUUAUUUUUGGUGAAUUACCCUCAUUUUUUCUUUGGAUGUUGUGUAUUUAUAUUAUUGUAUGCUUUCAAUUGAUACUGUUUUCUUUUUCUUUUUAGUUUUCCAUCUUACUUCCAUGGCAGCUGCAGGGUCUCCUCCAAGGGUGUGACUGGCACUGGUGAGGUGGUGGGCAUUCUUCUGUGGUUCCUGGUGAUUUAUUUAUCCUUUUGAGUGCCGUGGAUUUUUGUACUGUAUUUGGAGUGUGCAUUGCAAGUAGUGGCUAUAUUUUCCUACACACGUAUAGUUGUGCCCGGAUUGGAGCCCUGUGGUUUGUCAUAAAUUUGUUUUGUUUUUGUUUCUUUCUCCUUGCUGAAUGAUGUGUACUCGUGUUUUAAAUAUCUAAUUGUUUUUAUACAAAACUUGGUAUUUAUUGUGAAUAAAAGCUUGUACAAGCAAUACAUUCUUACUACAGCCUGUGGCCAGUUAUUCACCCACUUGUGGUGGGUUACAGAAAGCUAAAAAGGAUAAACAAUGAAGAUUUAUUUUCACAGCCACCUUUGCUCAUAUUUACCAAGGGUGCCAAUAUU